rnacentral:rRNA from 1 species
GAUGAACGCUAGCGGCAGGCUUAACACAUGCAAGUCGAGGGGUAACAGGGAAGAGCUUGCUUUUCCGCUGACGACCGGCGCACGGGUGAGUAACGCGUAUAGAACCUACCUUUUACAGGGGAAUAGCCCAGAGAAAUUUGGAUUAAUGCCCUAUAGUAUUAUUGAAUGGCAUCAUUUAGUAAUUAAACAUUUAUGGGUAAAAGAUGGCUAUGCGUUCUAUUAGCUAGAUGGUAAGGUAACGGCUUACCAUGGCAACGAUAGAUAGGGGUCCUGAGAGGGAGAUCCCCCACACUGGUACUGAGACACGGACCAGACUCCUACGGGAGGCAGCAGUGAGGAAUAUUGGACAAUGGAGGCAACUCUGAUCCAGCCAUGCCGCGUGCAGGAAGACGGCCCUAUGGGUUGUAAACUGCUUUUAUACGGGAAGAAACCCAACUACGUGUAGUUGGCUGACGGUACCGUAAGAAUAAGCACCGGCUAACUCCGUGCCAGCAGCCGCGGUAAUACGGAGGGUGCAAGCGUUAUCCGGAAUCAUUGGGUUUAAAGGGUCCGUAGGCGGGCUAAUAAGUCAGGGGUGAAAUCCAACAGCUUAACUGUUGAACUGCCUUUGAUACUGUUAGUCUUGAAUUAUAUGGAAGUAGAUAGAAUGUGUAGUGUAGCGGUGAAAUGCUUAGAGAUUACACAGAAUACCGAUUGCGAAGGCAGUCUACUACG